rnacentral:rRNA from 1 species
UACAGAGGUCUCAAGCGUUGUUCGGAUUCAUUGGGCGUAAAGGGUGCGUAGGCGGCGCGGUAAGUCGGGUGUGAAAUCUCGGAGCUUAACUCCGAAACUGCAUUCGAUACUGCCGUGCUUGAGGACUGGAGAGGAGACUGGAAUUUACGGUGUAGCGGUGAAAUGCGUAGAUAUCGUAAGGAAGACCAGUGGCGAAGGCGGGUCUCUGGCCCGAUACUGACGCUGAGGCACGAAAGCGUGGGGAGCAAACAGG